CUCUAUGGUGGUAUAGAGUACCCAUGGCAACUUAGAUUUGAGCAACACUACCACUGACCACUGACACCUUGAAGGCAAGAUGGAGGAUAUCUGUCCUGCAUGCACCUCCUGGGUCUAUACCUCGGUAGCAUCAGUUGAUUGGUGUAAAGGUCCUGAUAGAGGUUUGCCCUGUCCUGAUGUUAUAUUCUACUUUCAUCUCUCAUCAGAGGAGGGACUCAAGAGAUCAGGAUAUGGAGAAGAGAGAUACGAGAAGAAGUCAUUCCAAGAGGAGGUUGCUAGAGUCUAUGAGAAACUAUAAGAGAUUGUAGUUGGUUUGAUGUAGAUGCUUCUAAUUCAAUUGAUGCAAUACAUAAACAACUCUGGGACAAAACAUCAAGUCUCCUCAGUACUAUCAAUAAUAAAGAAAUAGGAAAACUCUGGACACAAUAGAUUAAUAUUUUAGAUAUUUAAUUUAUUCUAUAAAAUUUA